rnacentral:rRNA from 1 species
UCGCUCCUACCGAUUGGGUGAUCCGGUGAAUGAUUCGGACUUCGGCGUCCCUAGACAUUAGGCACGCUGGGGGAAGUUUUGUGAACCUUAUCACUUGGAGGAAGGAGAAGUCG